rnacentral:lncRNA from 1 species
GACUAACAAUUACUCCCUUCACAUGCUGCACCCUAGUCAAACAGAUCUACACCUGUGAUACCUCUCUGCCAGCCUCUUUCCUUUUGUUGGUCAGUCAUUCAGUCAUGUCCAAUUCCUCAUGGCCCCAUGGACCAUACUAUAGGUUUCAUCCAAGAAGAGAAACCAUUCAUGUGGCUUUCAGGAAUGAUGUUGGUGAUUUUAUAAAGAACAGUAUUGAUGGAUCCCAGAGAUAUGAAAGGUAAACAAAUGCCAACUUCCAUACAUUAAAAAAAAAAACCCAAAUCCCAGCCAGAGCUGAAAG